GACGAACGCUGGCGGCGUGCUUAACACAUGCAAGUCGAACGGAAAGGCCCCCAUCUUGGUGGGGGUGCUCGAGUGGCGAACGGGUGAGUAACACGUGGGUGAUCUGCCCUGUACUUCGGGAUAAGCUUGGGAAACUGGGUCUAAUACCGGAUAGGACCAUGGUUUAGUGUCUCAUGGUGGAAAGAUUAUUGUUUUGGUGCAGGAUGAGCUCGCGGCCUAUCAGCUUGUUGGUGGGGUAAUGGCCUACCAAGGCGUCGACGGGUAGCCGGCCUGAGAGGGUGGCCGGCCACAUUGGGACUGAGAUACGGCCCAGACUCCUACGGGAGGCAGCAGUGGGGAAUAUUGCACAAUGGGCGCAAGCCUGAUGCAGCGACGCCGCGUGGGGGAUGACGGCCUUCGGGUUGUAAACUCCUUUCGUUAGGGACGAAGCCGCACUUUUUUUGGGUGUGGUGACGGUACCUUUGUUAAGAAGCACCGGCUAACUACGUG
rnacentral:rRNA from 1 species